rnacentral:rRNA from 1 species
AGUGAACGCUGGCGGUAGGCCUAACACAUGCAAGUCGAACGGCAGCACAGUAAGAGCUUGCUCUUACGGGUGGCGAGUGGCGGACGGGUGAGGAAUACAUCGGAAUCUACUUUUUCGUGGGGGAUAACGUAGGGAAACUUACGCUAAUACCGCAUACGACCUACGGGUGAAAGCAGGGGAUCUUCGGACCUUGCGCGAUUGAAUGAGCCGAUGUCGGAUUAGCUAGUUGGCGGGGUAAAGGCCCACCAAGGCGACGAUCCGUAGCUGGUCUGAGAGGAUGAUCAGCCACACUGGAACUGAGACACGGUCCAGACUCCUACGGGAGGCAGCAGUGGGGAAUAUUGGACAAUUGGCGGAAGCCUGAUCCAGCCAUACCGCGUGGGUGAAGAAGGCCUUCGGGUUUUAAAGCCCUUUUGUUGGGAAAGAAAAGCAGCAGGUUAAUACCCCGCUGUUCUGACGGUACCCAAAGAAUAAGCACCGGCUAACUUCGUG